rnacentral:rRNA from 1 species
AUGUGUCAUAGACCAGCAUUGGAGGCAAGGGAUCACUUGUACUUCGUAUGCCCUUUUGCAAAACUCUGUUGGCAAUAUGUUUGUCCUGGAACCCUCCCUACUGGGACAGAUAUUCAAGACGAAGUUGCCCAUCGCAAACAGUUGCUAAAUCUGCCUUUUGCCAUGGACAUUAUUAUACUGAUCUCAUGGGCAAUUUGGACCACAAGGAACGACUUCAUCUUCAAGCACAUUCCUCCAAAUCUCUAUAAUUGCAGGCGUCGAUUUAAGGAGGAAGUAAAAUGGUUUACCUACACGGCUAAGAGAAAGGAGCUCACUGGCCUCAUGGAUUGGGUUCAGGUUUUCAGAUACAACACUCGAUAG